GUGGAUGAUUGAGGUGGCCUCUGGAUCGAGGCAGCUGCUGGCUUGCACUCGGAAAUUCAGUCCUCUCCACAGGUAACUGGGACACAAGAGAGGUCAGAGUCUGCCUCUGGGACCUGAGGGACCUAAACCAAGAAUAUCGUCAUUCACUCAACAGCAAGAAGUUAAACAGGGGUCUAAGUGACCACACUUAUUUGAGAGUCAGAAGGAAGAAAAGAUGGAGGAGGACUCCAGGAACCUCAGGUCAUUUCAGAAGGAGCCACAGGGGAGGUAAAUGUCUCCUUUGUGCUUUGCAGACAAGAGUUUCUGACACAUCUCGGGAAACUCGGGAGAAGUCAGUCUUUGGGCUGCACUUUCAUCCAGGAGGCGGUGUGGGAUGGAUUAAUGGCAACUCACAAUAAAUUAUUUAUCA
rnacentral:lncRNA from 1 species